UUGCUGCUGCCCAGCUCUGCCUGAAGCAGCAGUGGAUGCUGCAGGGAGCAGAGCCGCCGUUCCCUGCUCUGUCAGCCUGGGGGCAGCACAACCCGCAGGGACUGUGCUGUCCCUGUGUCACUGCCCGUGUCCCGAGCACACAGCGGGUCAGGGCAGCUCUGGGCAGGCACACACGGACAGUAACUCAGUGGAUUGCCUCCCAGGCUCUGCCCCAUGCCCAACUCCCGGCUGGGGGCACAGACCCUCCCAGCUUCCAGUGGUGGAACCAGGGACACCUAUUCUUAGUUAUUUAUUUCUGCUUGGCAAUUUACAAACAACCCAAGGUGCAAGAGAAAAGAAAAUACUUUCUGCUUUGUUCUUCAGUUAAUAAAACUUAAAUUUUAGUUAAAUCAGAUUUUGGGGUUGGAGUUGAAUAAUCAGGAGUAUGUAAAUAAAAAUUCCAAAUGCUGUUUUUUCCCAGCUUGUUUUACCUCAGAAACAGGACACAUAAAAGGAGAACCUGCGAAACAUCAAUAAAACAGUUGGUAGGAAAGUUAAA